UACUAUAGAUAGCUAAGUUAAAAGAAAGACACCUAGCUAGUGGGAAGAAGAUGUGGAGAAAAUGCUGAAACCGAGGAACAAUUUAAUCUUUCAAGGGGAAAAUGAUCAUCCGACUUCAGUUGUAGACAGAGCUCGAUCUUUAAUAAGAAGAUUCUUUUAAUUUGGUGGUGCUCAAAGACAAUUAAACACAAUUUCAGUUCAUUGGGAAAAGCCUCCGACUGAUUAUGUCAAACAAAACUCAGAUGCCUCUAGAGUCUGCGUUAACGGUGAAUUGCACGUUAAUCUGGGUUCUGUGGUUCAAUCGGGCACGAACCGGCCACAAUAUAACCCAGAGUAAUAAAAGUCCCCACAACCCUCAUUCUGAGGAUUUUUUCCCGCUACAUGUUUUCUUCCUUUCACCGAACCCUCCCUCCUUCCACCAAACCAUCCCUCCAUCGGCGACAAGGAUAACUCCGGCAACAAGGAGGACAACGGCGCCAUGAACCACGAAGCCACCGGCGGUGUAACGGUAAAUCGUCCGAACAAACUAAUGUUUUUUUCCUAUUUUCAACAGGUCGGAGCAGACCACAGCGGCAGUCAACAUUCACCUAAACGAACCUGGGUUUCUGGCCAACCUUCAUUCUGCGAAUUUUUUCCCGUUGGCCAACCCACACACCGAACCCACCCUCCAUCGGUGACAAGAAUAGCUCCGGCGAAACAACCCACCUGGACAGCCAUCGCCGACCACAGCAACCACCUACUUGGACAACCGCCGGCGGGAACAGCACCCACCCUUCAUCUUCAAUCUUUAACUGUAACUACAACCCUUUUUCUUAUUUUUUCCCUUUAUCUAUCUAUCUUAUAUUCCUAUCUCCAUUGACCUGUUGGAGUGGUGUUGUCGUUACUGAUGAUGUCUUGUCUGAGAAGUGUGUUGCAGCAAUUUAAUCGGAACUACGUACAGGUCAAUGCAGAUUCAUUUACAAUUGCUGGAGCAGAUUUGAUUUAUGGGAUAAUAAGGAUUGUUGGGUUCGGUUUUACCUGUUCGUCCUUCAGCUCGGAGAUACAUCGGAGAAGAAAAAGAAGAGAGAG